rnacentral:sRNA from 1 species
GGUACACUGCAUACUGAGAAAUCACCAGAAACAAGCGAAAACGACCUGUUCGUAUAAGUAUCAGUAAUACAUCCAGAAACGUAAACACAAUUCUUGUCAUCUCCUUCUAAGGACACUGUGUCGUGAAAACGGAAAACGGUGGAGCGAUCUAGUAAUUUCUGGAGAUCCACUUUGCCAAUGCCCACUGUUACUUCGCGAGAGAAAAUAGUUCCUUUUCGUAUUUUUAAUCGAAAGACCAGCCAUCGUUGGGAUUCUAAUUCACGGGAAAACAAAUCAUCGGCUGUCCAAAGCAUGGAUGGUCCGAAUACUUCGAACAGCGGCUUAGAAACCUUCCUGAAAUCGUCGACCAAGAAAAUUUGCAAAGUAAAAUCGAGACCAUAUUCACCGUCAGGAAUUCUGUCAAUAGACAUCGACUCUAGUGUAAACUGUCGCCCAGUUCUCAAGUCAGCCUUGAUGCAAAGAGGAUCUGGGAGGCUGUACAGUUCCUCGGGCUCUUUACCCCGGUACAUGGCCCCUGGAGUGUUGAAAACCUCUUUGUACAUUUCAAGCCAUAACCGGCUAGUGUCGAUUGUGGACAGCGUAAGUUUCGAAUCUGGGGAUCUAUCUACGGUUGUAUCAUCAUGGGGAAGCACUUUACCAAGGAUACGAAUCGUGUCCUCUUUGUACGCCAGGGGAUGUAACUGAUGGGUGUGCCACAUCAGAUCCUGAUCGUAGCACGGAACAAUGAAGAGCUUAUAGGAGUUUUUGCGAAGAAAUAGGAACUGUUGGUAUCGGUGCAUUGCUAGCGUCAGGAAGCGCAUGUCUCGAUAAUGUGGGAGAGAGACGUUGUAGUAAAAAUGUCGCUGGCGAGAAAUGGCUCCAUUUAUGUCGUAUGUAAUACUAGACUCGAAGUCAGUUUUAGUAGAACCUUCCCUCAUUUUGUCGUUCGUUAGAUCUAUUUCAAAAGGUUCGUUUUUGUAUUUUGCCUCCCACAGAUGUUUGGAUCGCUUCAGCGCAUGCUCUCUGUCAGCAGAUCUGAACAAUCGGUGAUUGAUAGUGGUUCGGAACAAUGAUUGGCAGUCUUUUUCAUACACCAAGGGACAGAGUAGAUGGCAGUGCCACACCCAUUCAAUGUCAAGCGGCGCCGCUAGGCGUUCCUGCGCAUGCUCCGCGGCUAGAGGAAGCCAGAGUUUUUCAUAUCGACGUAUGCUGUUCUUCAUGUUAUCUAUUUCGUAUAGAGAUGGGUGCUGGUUGACUUCAGCCAAAAACUCCACCUGAGCCAGCGCUGCUUCAACAAGGUCAACACUAAAGGUCAAUCGAAGGGCCUUUUCAACGCAUUCUUCUUUUGACACUACAUGAAGAAGAAAUAAAAGAUUAUAUUAGACUGCAUGCGUUGAAUUUCAUUGAAAAGUUAUAUCAAUUAUGUGAUUGCUGACACUGAAUUGAUUAUAUUCUAUUGAAAGAAUAUGAGAGACAUUACUGGGGGGGGGGGGGGGGGGGGGUGGAGAGAGAGAGAGAGAGAGAGAGGAGAGAGAGAGUUAGUUAGAGGUGUCAACAUUUUUGUUUUGAAAAUGUUUAGAGAUCUGUACAACUUAAGCUGCGAUGUCAAUUUGAUUUUUAUAUACAUAUUGUUUGCCAAAGGGUCAUUGAAGAAAAUAAAAAGUGUAAUGAAACUGC